CUUUUUUCUUUUUCUUUUUUUUUUUCUCAGGCUAUCCAUUUGCAGAACUAUGUCAGGGUUGUGGGAUUACACAGGGCUCUGUGUGUGAAUGCUUUCUGUGGGCUCUGUCCUGGAAACCUCUUUUUUCUUGAAAAUGGGCCAAUGGGCCUCUUUCUGCUUUGCACCGCAUGGGGACGACUGUGACCGGGCCACACCAGCCCCCAGUCUACACAUACAGCACUUUGUCAACAAGUUAACAACCUAUAAUUGUGAAGAAAAAGAUGCACCUGGAGAAUUUCGAGAGGACAUUAACCGUGUUUUCAUUGCACUGCUGCACUGGCCUGCAGUCCCACAGUUACAACACUGAAAACUCAAUCUAUUUCCUUGUUACUCAUGAUCCUCCUGGUGAUAUUAAAGGCACAGCACGGUGGUUGACCAAGGAACAGUCACUCUUGCAAUCAGUCUCAGUUCAAAGUAGAGAGAGAGGAACCACAAUCACGCACAAAAGCUUGAGACAUAAGAACUUGUAACCAUGACAGCUGCAUCCUACAAACACUACAGAAGACAGUAACAGCAAUUCCUCCCUGCAAAGCCUGUGUUUACUCAGUUUCCUUUGUAUGCAUUGGCAGUCCCCAUUUAAGUACAGUAUCAGUACCACGACAAAACAGUUUUUAAGGUGUCUUGUCAUCAGAGGAAUGUUGUUGACCCUUCCCUCUUUUCAUGGGGUAAUACAGCAAGUAUUUUCUUUGAUGUGGAUCCUUGAGGCACUGAACAUGUGAACUUUCCAGGACUGCGUUAUUUUAUCUCAAAUAAGGGUCAGGAUUUGCAGGUAGAAAGGGUAUGAUCAACUAGUAAGAAUGGAGGAUUGAAAAAGAUUGACAUGGAAGACGGUUGUCCUGGUUUAGUUGGCAGUUAUACAGACCUGAUGUAGUGGAAAUGUCAUGACCUGAAACGGUGAUUGAGCACCUGGUGGGAAGGCAGGGCCAAUCCAGGGGAGCUCAGGUGCAUGCAAUGCUCCUGAGUGACGAGAAGGGGUGGAGCCAGGAUCCAUUCCCCUCCCAGACCUCAUUUAAGGGUUGGCAGCGGAGGUAAAGGUAUCUUCUGUGGGAGGUUCCUGUCUACUGAAGGUCUUCUACAGGCCAAAUAGGAUGAAAGAAACUGAAGUUACUAUUCUGACCCUGCCAGCCCAAUUUCUCUAGGGUGCCUGGAGGGAAACUCGCACACAGACAUCAAGAGAACAGCAAGGCCAAACGGAAGAGAGCUCAGGUGACGCUUCUUGGACUCUCCUGCUCCCCUCCUGCAACUGUAGUGAAGCUGAGGUGUGAAGCAGCAAGUACUAAGUCUUGCUUUCACAUAGCCAGUGUAGGCAGUGCUACCCCAUUCACAAACAAUCAAAGUAGGUCCUCCAAAAUGGUCUCGUCCAUCUGUGCCCUCAAAGCUUCUCACCUUCACACCUCAAAAUAACCAACAUACUUUGACGUGUUGGAGCAUUGUGUCAAACAUCUGGAGGCCAGAAAGGGCCUGUUCAUCAUCUCACUAUGAUUGGUUCAGUCUAACCACAGUCUGAAUAAUUCUGUGCAGGAGGAAAAGUUUAGGACUGGGUUUCCUGGGCGGAGAUGCUAUGCUGACUGAAUAUCAAUUACCAGUGUCAUUACUGCUUCAGUCCUGUAGUUCUUCAUAAUGCCACUGCCAGAAUCAAGUACGUGAAAGACAAGUGCAGGGGAAGAAGAUGAUGUGUCUGAAGGAGGUAUUCUCGAGCAAUGCAGAGCUUCAUCCACUGGUGAAAAGCAGAAAACAUACAAACAAAAUAAUGUUUUGCUGACACUUUGCUGUACUGUUCAGUGCAGUUACAUGAACAGACAACGUUUCCCAUGGAAGAUGCCAACUAAAGCAAUGAACUGGGAGUCUGUAUUGAGAAGACUUCCAGAGGGAGCUGCAAAUCAGCAGCAGCUGGAUUGGACUCAGAAGGAAUGAUGAUUUUGAUGGGAUUAUAGCUGAAUUCGAUUAAAAUGUUUUCUUUGUUAAAUAUAUCUGUUAUUUUCCUAAAUACCAAGAGGUACACUGACUCCUACUAGUCCUAGAAGAUUUCAAAUAUGCUUUUUGCUCAGAUUUAGGGAGUGUAGGAAGUGUCAGGUAGUACAGACGCAAGGGAGUUUAAGUACUUCUGCUAGUAUAUUGCAACACGCGAGUCCAGCUGACAAACAUAACUUAUGUAUGAACUUUUAACCUGACAUUUUCCCUUUAGUUUCAAUGGAUGGUAUCAAUUUUGAAUGUAUUACUAUUGUAAGAUUUACGGACGCUUGCUGAAGGCCACUGACUUCCAAUCAAGAAUCUGACAAUAUGGUUGCUUAGAGGCUUCUUCGCAGUCCUUCUGUAUCUUGUUUCUUAAAAGCUUUCCAAGUACAUGGCAAAGGAAUGCAAUGAAACAAAUGUCACUUUGUUCUUGAAAACAUAUGGAAAAAGCUUUCAGAAUACAACAGAUGCUUGAAUCUUCUAAUAGAUUUAUCUGUAUUCUUGUUUGUUUUGUUGACUAAAAUGUAAAAGUGUUUUUUAAAAACAGAUGUUAAAAGUCAUAUAGAUGUACUUUAGUUCCAUGGAGGUAGGACACUUAAAAACUGUAGCAAACCUGAACUUGUUUUAGCUGCUAUUUUAUAUGUGAAUGCAAAACAUCCUCAGUGAAAUGGUGUGUGUUUAAAAAAAAAAAAAAAAAGUCAAUGUACUUACUGUGGUUCUGUCUCUGGCUUUCCAUCCCUGGAGUUUUGAUUGCAGCUCCCUCGGGGAGUACAUGCCAGAGAGACGCAUGGAUCUCUACUUGAAUCUGUUGUCAUCCAUUGGAAAAGUUUUUAAUUAAAUAAAUUU
ensembl:lncRNA